GGUGAUGUGCCUUAUAUGUGCACACCCGCAUCCAUCUAGCACGAGGCCUUUUGGGAGCUCACUGGCUUUGGAGUCGUAGGAACUCCGAAGUUAAGCAAGUUAGGGGCCAGAGCAAUCCCAGGAUGGGUGACCCACUGGGAAGUUGCUCGUGAGCUCCCAGAAACAAAACCGUGCGGGCACAGAGGGGGGCCCAAAGCGGACAAUAUCGUGCUACGGCGGAGUUGAUCCCGGGAUGUGACAAUUUGGUAUCAGAGCCACUCUGCCGUGUGGUGCGAGUAUGCCGACGGGGACGUCGGGCCCUUAAGGGGGGUGGAUUGUAAGAUCCCACAUCAACCAACGGAGAGGGGGUGAUGUGCCUUAUAUGUGCACACCCGCAUCUAUC
rnacentral:lncRNA from 1 species